rnacentral:rRNA from 1 species
AUGUAAUGUAAUGCCUACAAUUUUAAUGCAUCAAAACCCAUUAGAAAUUUGUAGUUAAGAACACUUGGGAUAGAGUAGUACUAGGAUGAGUGACCUCUUAGGUAGUCCUAGUGUUUUACAUG